rnacentral:rRNA from 1 species
GAGUGGCGGACGGGUGAGUAAUGUCUGGGAAACUGCCUGAUGGAGGGGGAUAACUACUGGAAACGGUAGCUAAUACCGCAUAACGUCGCAAGACCAAAGAGGGGGACCUUCGGGCCUCUUGCCAUCGGAUGUGCCCAGAUGGGAUUAGCUAGUAGGUGGGGUAACGGCUCACCUAGGCGACGAUCCCUAGCUGGUCUGAGAGGAUGACCAGCCACACUGGAACUGAGACACGGUCCAGACUCCUACGGGAGGCAGCAGUGGGGAAUAUUGCACAAUGGGCGCAAGCCUGAUGCAGCCAUGC